rnacentral:rRNA from 1 species
AGUGAACGCUGGCGGUAUGCCUAACACAUGCAAGUCGAACGGCAGCACAGUAAGAUCUUGCUCUUACGGGUGGCGAGUGGCGGGCGGGUGAGGAAUACAUCGGAAUCUACUUUUUCGUGGGGGAUAACGUAGGGAAACUUACGCUAAUACCUCAUACGACCUACGGGUGAAAGCAGGGGAUCUUCGGACCUUUCGCGAUUGAUUGAGCCGAUGUCGGAUUAGCUAGUUGGCGGGGUAAAGGCCCACCAAGGCGACGAUCCGUAGCUGGUCUGAGAGGAUGAUCAGCCACACUGGAACUGAGACACGGUCCAGACUCCUACGGGAGGCAGCAGUGGGGAAUAUUGGACAAUGGGCGCAAGCCUGAUCCAGCCAUACCGCGUGGGUGAAGAAGGCCUUCGGGUUGUAAAGCCCUUUUGUUGGGAAAGAAAAGCAGCAGGUUAAUACCCCGCUGUUCUGACGGUACCCAAAGAAUAAGCACCGGCUAACUUCGUG